rfam:Stegodyphus mimosarum contig53267, whole genome shotgun sequence.
GCCUUCGUGGUGUAAUGGUCAGCACACUGAGCCGGUAAUUCAGAGGUCCGCGGUUCGAUUCCCGGCGAAGGCG